rnacentral:lncRNA from 1 species
ACUUUGCUCCUUGCAUGUGUGUCAGCCAGGGCCCCAGGGUCGCCCUCUGGGCCUAGAUGGAUGCAGAAGCUCCUCCUGGAGGCUGGUGGAACAGGGCCGGUUCGGAGCGACCUUGGCCGUUGGCCUGACCAUCUUUGUGCUGUCUGUCGUCACUAUCAUCAUCUGCUUCACCUGCUCCUGCUGCUGCCUUUACAAGACGUGCCGCCGACCACGUCCGGUUGUCACCACCACCACAUCCACCACUGUGGUGCAUGCCCCUUAUCCUCAGCCUCCAAGUGUGCCGCCCAGCUACCCUGGACCAAGCUACCAGGGCUACCACACCAUGCCGCCUCAGCCAGGGAUGCCAGCAGCACCCUACCCAAUGCAGUACCCACCACCUUACCCAGCCCAGCCCAUGGGCCCACCGGCCUACCACGAGACCCUGGCUGGAGGAGCAGCCGCGCCCUACCCCGCCAGCCAGCCUCCUUACAACCCGGCCUACAUGGAUGCCCCGAAGGCGGCCCUCUGAGCAUUCCCUGGCCUCUCUGGCUGCCACUUGGUUAUGUUGUGUGUGUGCGUGAGUGGUGUGCAGGCGCGGUUCCUUACGCCCCAUGUGUGCUGUGUGUGUCCAGGCACGGUUCCUUACGCCCCAUGUGUGCUGUGUGUGUCCUGCCUGUAUAUGUGGCUUCCUCUGAUGCUGACAAGGUGGGGAACAAUCCUUGCCAGAGUGGGCUGGGACCAGACUUUGUUCUCUUCCUCACCUGAAAUUAUGCUUCCUAAAAUCUCAAGCCAAACUCAAAGAAUGGGGUGGUGGGGGGCACCCUGUGAGGUGGCCCCUGAGAGGUGGGGGCCUCUCCAGGGCACAUCUGGAGUUCUUCUCCAGCUUACCCUAGGGUGACCAAGUAGGGCCUGUCACACCAGGGUGGCGCAGCUUUCUGUGUGAUGCAGAUGUGUCCUGGUUUCGGCAGCGUAGCCAGCUGCUGCUUGAGGCCAUGGCUCGUCCCCGGAGUUGGGGGUACCCGUUGCAGAGCCAGGGACAUGAUGCAGGCGAAGCUUGGGAUCUGGCCAAGUUGGACUUUGAUCCUUUGGGCAGAUGUCCCAUUGCUCCCUGGAGCCUGUCAUGCCUGUUGGGGAUCAGGCAGCCUCCUGAUGCCAGAACACCUCAGGCAGAGCCCUACUCAGCUGUACCUGUCUGCCUGGACUGUCCCCUGUCCCCGCAUCUCCCCUGGGACCAGCUGGAGGGCCACAUGCACACACAGCCUAGCUGCCCCCAGGGAGCUCUGCUGCCCUUGCUGGCCCUGCCCUUCCCACAGGUGAGCAGGGCUCCUGUCCACCAGCACACUCAGUUCUCUUCCCUGCAGUGUUUUCAUUUUAUUUUAGCCAAACAUUUUGCCUGUUUUCUGUUUCAAACAUGAUAGUUGAUAUGAGACUGAAACCCCUGGGUUGUGGAGGGAAAUUGGCUCAGAGAUGGACAACCUGGCAACUGUGAGUCCCUGCUUCCCGACACCAGCCUCAUGGAAUAUGCAACAACUCCUGUACCCCAGUCCACGGUGUUCUGGCAGCAGGGACACCUGGGCCAAUGGGCCAUCUGGACCAAAGGUGGGGUGUGGGGCCCUGGAUGGCAGCUCUGGCCCAGACAUGAAUACCUCGUGUUCCUCCUCCCUCUAUUACUGUUUCACCAGAGCUGUCUUAGCUCAAAUCUGUUGUGUUUCUGAGUCUAGGGUCUGUACACUUGUUUAUAAUAAAUGCAAUCGUUUGGA